GCAAGUCGAACGAGAAAGGGAUUGCUUGCAAUCCUGAGUAGAGUGGCGCACGGGUGAGUAACACGUAGAUAAUCUACCUUCAAGCCCGGGAUAACUAUUUGAAAGGAUAGCUAAUACCGGAUGAAGUUAAUUAGCACAAGUUAAUUGAUGAAAGAUUGCCUCUAUUUAUAAGCAGUUGUUUGGAGCUGAGUCUGCGGACCAUUAGUUAGUUGGUAGGGUAAAGGCCUACCAAGACAGCGAUGGUUAGCUGGUCUGAGAGGGUGAAC
rnacentral:rRNA from 1 species